GAGUCGUCAGCGAACAGUGCCAACAUCAU
rnacentral:sRNA from 1 species